AGAUGUGAGGGUAAUCUGGUUGGUUAGGCUGGAGUCCCCUUCCUCCCUACUCUAUAUGUGUCCCUCCCAAAGUUGCUUCCUCUGUCAAAGACAGACUGGCCUUAGGUCAAGGGUAUACAAGCAGCUGUGCUCCCCUGCUAGAACUCCAAAGAUGCUCUCAAGAAUUCAGUUUCAUUCUUUUGCAUAUGGGUAUCCAUUUUCCCCCCAACACCAUUUUUUAAGAGAAGAUUCUUUCUUCAUUA
rnacentral:snRNA from 1 species